CACGUAGGGCGCAAGCGUUGUCCGGAAUUAUUGGGCGUAAAGAGCUCGUAGGCGGUCUGUUGCGUCCGCUGUGAAAACUCGGGGCUUAACCCCGAGCCUGCAGUGGAUACGGGCAGACUAGAGGUAGGUAGGGGAGAAUGGAAUUCCCGGUGUAGCGGUGAAAUGCGCAGAUAUCAGGAGGAAUACCGGUGGCGAAGGCGGCAUCCUGGACCGACAUUGACGCUGAGGAGCGAAAGCUAGGGGAGCAAACGGG
rnacentral:rRNA from 1 species